rnacentral:rRNA from 1 species
UACGUAGGGUGCGAGCGUUGUCCGGAAUUACUGGGCGUAAAGAGCUCGUAGGUGGUUUGUCGCGUUGUCCGUGAAAACUCACAACUCAAUUGUGGGCGUGCGGGUGAUACGGGCAGACUGGAGUACUGCAGGGGAGACUGGAAUUCCUGGUGUAGCGGUGGAAUGCGCAGAUAUCAGGAGGAACACCGGUGGCGAAGGCGGGUCUCUGGGCAGUGACUGACGCUGAGACGCGAAAGCGUGGGGAGCGAACAGG